GCCGACAAGCAAGAGAAGGGCGCAUGGGGGAUGCCUAGGCUCCCAGAGGCGAAGAAGGACGUGGUAAGCUGCGAAAAGCUACGGGGAGCUGCACACGAGCAUUGAUCCGUGGAUUUCCGAAUGGGGCAACCCGGCAGGUUGAAGGCCUGUCACCCCGCAAGGGGGGCGAACCCGCCGAACUGAAACAUCUAAGUAGGCGGAGGAGGAGAAAACAAGAGUGAUUCCGAGAGUAGUGGCGAGCGAAAUCGGAGAAGCCCAAACCAACGUUGUUUCGGCAACGUUGGGGUUGUAGGACCGCGCGAUUGGUUGUGCGAUGAACUGGAACGCUUUGGAAAGAGCGGCCAUAGCGGGUGAUAGCCCCGUACGGGCAAAGACCAUCAACCAUAGCGGUAUCCUGAGUAGCGCGGGGCACGUGAAACCCUGUGUGAAUCCGGCGGGACCAUCCGCCAAGGCUAAAUACUCCUGGGAGACCGAUAGUGAACCAGUACCGUGAGGGAAAGGUGAAAAGAACCCUGAACAAGGGAGUGAAAGAGAUCCUGAAACCAUGCGCCUACAAGCGGUCGGAGUCCCGAUUCAUCGGGAUGACGGCGUGCCUUUUGCAUAAUGAGCCUACGAGUUACUUUUACCGGCAAGGUUAAGGAGCUAAGUUCCGGAGCCGCAGCGAAAGCGAGUCUGAACAGGGCGCUUUAGUCGGUAGUAGUAGACGCGAAACCGUGCGAUCUACCCAUGGGCAGGUUGAAGCUGUGGUAACACACAGUGGAGGACCGAACCCGUUGACGUUGAAAAGUCUUGGGAUGACCUGUGGGUAGGGGUGAAAGGCCAAUCAAGCUCGGAAAUAGCUCGUACUCCCCGAAAUGCAUUUAGGUGCAGCGUUGCAUAUGUUUUAUAGAGGUAGAGCUACUGAUUGGAUGCGGGGGCUUCACCGCCUACCAAUUCCUGACAAACUCCGAAUGCUAUAAAAUAGAGUGCAGCAGUGAGGGCAUGGGUGCUAAGGUCCAUGUCCGAGAGGGAAACAACCCGGACCAUCGGCUAAGGUCCCCAAAUAUGUGCUAAGUUGGUAAAACGCGGUGGGACUGCACAGACAGCCAGGAUGUUGGCUUGGAAGCAGCCAUUCAUUUAAAGAGUGCGUAACAGCUCACUGGUCGAGCGGUCCCGCAUGGAUAAUGAUCGGGCAUAAGCACAUUACCGAAGCCAUGGUCCCGAUACGUAUGUAUCGGGAGGUAGGGGAGCAUUGUGGUUGCGUAGAAGGUUGGCCGUGAGGCCUGCUGGAGCGUCCACAAACGAAAAUGUAGGCAUAAGUAACGAUAAUGCGGGCGAGAAACCCGCACGCCGAAAGACCAAGGUUUCCCCGGCCAUGCUAAUCAGCCGGGGGUCAGUCGGGACCUAACGCGAACCCGGAAGGGGCAGUGGAUGGACAACGGGUCAAUAUUCCCGUACCCGCAAUGAGUUUAAAGUGACGGGGCACCGGAGUUGGUGCGCACAGACGGAAUUGUGCGUUGAACCCUGCAAAGGGGAUAGUACACCGAGGCUACGGCCAAGGUGAUAAUCCAGCGUAGGAGCCUCCAAGAAAAGCGAUCAUUGCGGCCCGUACCGUAAACCGACACAGGUGGUUGGGAUGAGUAUUCUAAGGCGCUCGAGAGAUUCAUGGCCAAGGAACUAGGCAAAAUCGGCGCGUAACUUCGGGAGAAGCGCCGCCCCGAUGUAAGAGUCGGGGCCGCAGUGAAAAGGCCCAGGCGACUGUUUAUCAAAAACACAGGGCUAUGCCAAUUCGAAAGAAGACGUAUAUGGCCUGACACCUGCCCGGUGCCGGAAGGUUAAAGGGAGAUGUCAUCCGUAAGGAGAAGCAUUGAACUGAAGCCCCGGUAAACGGCGGCCGUAACUAUAACGGUCCUAAGGUAGCGAAAUUCCUUGUCGGGUAAGUUCCGACCUGCACGAAUGGUGCAACGAUCUGGGCACUGUCUCGGCCAUGAUCUCGGUGAAAUUGUAGUAUCGGUGAAGAUGCCGGUUACCCGCAGUGGGACGAAAAGACCCCGUGAACCUUUACUAUAGCUUCGUAUUGACCCUGGGCAAGGGAUGUGUAGGAUAGCUGGGAGGCUUUGAAGGGCUGUCGCCAGGCAGUUUGGAGCCGUUGUUGAAAUACCAGCCUUCGUUUGUCCGGGGCCUAACCCAGAAAUGGGGACAGUGCGUGGUGGUGGGUAGUUUGACUGGGGUGGUCGCCUCCAAAAGAGUAACGGAGGCUUCCAAAGGUGUCCUCAGCACGCUUGGCAACCGUGCGCAGAGUGCAAUGGCACAAGGACGCUUGACUGUGAGGCAUACAGGCCGAACAGGUGCGAAAGCAGGGCAUAGUGAUCCGGUGGUUCCGAAUGGAAGGGCCAUCGCUCAAAGGAUAAAAGGUACUCCGGGGAUAACAGGAUAACUGAUCUCCCCCAAGAGCUCACAUCGACGGGGGGGUUUGGCACCUCGAUGUCGGCUCGUCACAUCCUGGGGCUGGAGAAGGUCCCAAGGGUUGGGCUGUUCGCCCAUUAAAGUGGCACGCGAGCUGGGUUCAGAACGUCGUGAGACAGUUCGGUCUCUAUCUACUGCGGGCGUCAGAAAAUUGAGCGGAUCUGGUUCUAGUACGAGAGGACCGAACUGGACCGACCUCUGGUGCACCGGUUGUCCCGCCAGGGGCACCGCCGGGUAGCUACGUCGGGAUGGGAUAAGCGCUGAAGGCAUAUAAGCGCGAAACCCGCCGCAAGAUGGGUUUUCUUUAAAGGGCCGUGGGAGACGACCACGUCGAUAGGCCGCAGGUGCAAGGGCAGCGAUGUCCGCAGCCGAGCGGUACUAAUUGCCCGUAUGCUUGGGCAC
rnacentral:rRNA from 1 species